CUCAGUUUUCGGAUUGGAGUCUGCAACCCGACUCCAUGAAGCUGGAUUCGCUAGUAAUCGCGCAUCAGCCACGGCGCGGUGAAUACGUUCCCGGGCCUUGUACACACCGCCCGUCAAGCCAUGGAAGCCGGGAGUGCCUGAAGUGCGUGAGCGCAAGCAGCGCCCUAAGGUAAAACCGGUGACUGGGGCUAAGUCGUAACAAGGUAAC
rnacentral:rRNA from 1 species